CAGAAAACGCAUAUAUAUGUCCUUAGUCCACACCGAUAGCUUUCGCCAGACACCUAUAUGCGUCCUUAGUCCAUGCCGGGCACUUACAGAAAACGCAUAUAUAUGUCCUCAGUCCACACCGAUAGCUUUCGCCAGACACCUAUAUGCGCCCACAGCACUCAAAGGGUUAACAAUAGACUGGGACGAAGGUAGACCAUAGGCAGGCGACGAUGGCUUCGGGAUUUUCAGUUAUAGGGCAACACUGCUAGCGUGCGGAUCUGGACCAG
rnacentral:misc_RNA from 1 species